ensembl:lncRNA
UUAAGGUCACACAGCAACUGGAAGGAGCCAAAACUGAUCACAGAAUUACUGGUUUUUAAUUGCACGUGUGUAGUACAACAUCACGUAAGUAAAGUGACUCGAUGACGUUGACUAACAAGACUGAUCGGAGAAUGGGGAAAUAUCUGAAAAAAAAAGAGAACUGGAGAAUAUUCAAAAAGCACGCCUGGACCAGCUCAUAACAACGGCCCCCACCAAUGUCUCGGUCUCCCGAGAGGAUCUUCCGCUCACCAAGAUGCCCCCAGAGCCCACCAGGUGAGUCUUGUUUCACCAAACGACAGUCAGCCUUCUCUCUGGUGACUUUAGGUUGCUGCAAUGAGUGAGUUUGUGCGUGGGCCCUUUAAGACCCGGAUCUUUUCGGCUUUCGGCCAAUAGCUUUUCUGGGGUGUCCUCGCUGCAGUUGAUAGGCAGCAAAGACAGACAGUAAGACCCCCCUCUCAGUUGGGCUGAGUCCGAAGGAUGGUUAUAGCAGUAUUGCCCCCGCUACGAACCUCACUCCUCCAGGGAGGGCUCGUACCUUAGGUUGGCUCCCGCCUGGCCAGCUGAGAAGCUCCGCUGCUCCCAAAGGUGGCUUUUUUCCUCUCUGCCCGGAGUUACUGCCUCUUCUGCUUUCGUCAGGACUGUCCCUUGUUGUGGGGGUUCUCUUUAUCCAGUUUUCAGUUUUCAAUCCAGGGUGAUUCUUCCUAAAAUUGUUGUAACCUGGUUGUGCUUGUGGGAGGAGGUGAGUUCAACGUCUGCUCACAGCGCCAUCUUGAUGAGAACCUGUUGACACUGUUUUGAUCACACCAGACAGGAUCAAGUGAGGACUAUGGCCUGACGGACAGUGAUGGUUGACUACUUGCCAGGUGCCAUACUGACUCUGAGGAUUGAAGUGUAAAUAAGGCAUAGACCUUGAUGUCAUAGAGCUCAUAAUGUAGCAGAAGAUGUGGACAUGUAAACAUCGAACAAGUGUGGAGGCACCACACAGCACUGUAGGAGAAUAGUAUUGCCUUGAGUGAAAGCUUCACAGAACAAGAGCUCAGUCUUGAAAAAAUCAAUGGGAGUUAUCAGUUAGUAAAGUAAAGGAUGGGCAUUUCUCAGAAGCGGGAUGAUGUGGACAAAAGCAAGACAGUGUUAUGAUGGGUUUGGUAACAGGACAGACAUUUUUGUACUCUGGAAGUGAAAUACAACAAAAUGAAAGAAAUUUGAAAAAAAAACAAAACAAAACCACCUGACAGUCUGUCUUUGACAAUCUCCUCUCCCACUGCCCACAUUCCCCUCCAGUAAGUGCAAAUAUUCGGUGAGAAGCCAGGGUUCAAGGAUCUCUUCCUCCUUCUGAAAAGCUAUGUCAAAUUUUUAUAUUAGAACAAUUCCUGAAAGUUCCUCAUAUUUCAACAAUUACAAUUUACUUACAAUUUGCAGACUUUUUACAAAGUUUAUAUUGUAAAUUAUCACUAAAUUAUCCAUACUAUAGCAAUUUUGCUGGUAGCAUAACAUUUGGUUAGCACUAUAGACUGAGUAUUUGUGUCCUCCCCAAAUUCAUAUGCUGAAACUUAAUCCCCAGUGUGAUGGUAUUUGAAGGAGGGACCUUUGGGAGGUGAUUAAGUUACGAGGGUGUAUCCCUCAUAAAUAGGAUUAGUGCCAUUAUGAAAGAGACCCCAGAGAGAUCCCUCACCCCUUCUGCCAUGUGAGAUUACAGCAAAAAGGAUUUGGUCUAUGAACCAGGAAAGGUGACAUCCCCAGACAUGGAAUCUGCUUGUGCCUUGAUCUUGGACUUCCCAGUCUCCAGAACUGAUUCACAGACAAGACUGGUGUGUGUUUGGUGCCUAGAAGUUAUUUUCAAAACCUAAUACCAAAGACAAUUGAGAGGGAAGAAGCUGAAGAUGUCUGCUGAGCAACAGAGAGAAUCCUAACUGUGAUAAAAAUGUCCACCAACCUCUUUAUCCCUUUCUUCUGUUACUCUCAAUAAGAAUGUUCUCUCUGCUUUAUUCAAAUUGUCCUUUACACAUGUCUUAACUUCUCCUAAUCUUAUCACAUGCCUUUGCUCAUGUUCUUCCUCCUUCUAGGUUCAAUUCGAAACCCAUCUGAUCUGUGAAAGAAUCUCUUAUGAACACAGUCUCUUCUGAGCUUCUAUCCCACCUCACUUGUAAAACAGAAAUCUUUUAAAGGUAUAGCUUUAUCCUUCUAAUGAGUUGUAAAAUUCUUUGACUAAAGGGACUGUUUCCAUAUGCAGAAUGUUUUUCAAAGUGCCUUACGCAUUGCUGUACUCCAAAAAUGUUUUUUAAAUUUGUUGAUUGAUAACCUCCUCAUGGAAAAAUGCUGAUAGUAUUUAAAUUUUUGCUGCUAAACAAUUUAGAUAUGAAUAGAAGAGGCCUCAAACCUCUACUAAAUACCUACUCCUGUGAAGUGCUUUUCUGGGCCCCAAACAAAUGGAAUUUUGCACAAAUCCUUUUAAUUUUAUCUUUCUUUUUUAGAUAUGGAGCUCAGAUGAAUCUAGUUAUCUUAAAAGUACAAGGAGGAAGUGGGGAAACACUGGAUUAAAAAACCUGGAUGUUGUUUCUGAAGAAAAUGAAUAUCUAUUGUGUUCUCUCUGUGAUAAGAACUACAAAGAUGCAGAAGAUCUGGAUCUCACCCUUCAAUAUUGUCAUUUACUCUGAUACUGUGAAGAGUGGGAUUAAAGCAGUCUGAUGAAGGGAUCUGUCUAAUGAUAUUUUCACAGCUUCAGAAAAGGUUUGAGAGAUUAAA